rnacentral:lncRNA from 10 species
GUGACUCAGGCCUGGCCAGGGGUAUGGCAAGCUUAUCUAUGUGUUUACUUAGAAGUUGCAGAGACCAAAACUUGAAGCAAAUCAGGCCCCUCUGGAACUCUCACCCACUAAGAGAUUGCCUCAAUUUACAACGUAGCUGCCUGCCAUGGCGCCAGCCAGACCACAUGAUAGAUAAGACAUCUGAAGACCUUGCUCUUGUUAUUCAGACUCUGCAAGCAGUGGAUGACUGAACCUGAGUUACAGAGGCAUUACAAGGAGGAUUUUGUUUUCUUCUUAGGUUUAGUUGUAUUUUCUAAUAUUUCU